rnacentral:rRNA from 1 species
UAGGGAAUAUUGGUCAAUGGACGGAAGUCUGAACCAGCCAUUCCGCGUGCAGGAAGAAGGUCCUAUGGACUGUAAACUGCUUUUAUACGGGACGAAAAAAGGGUUUUCUAACUCGUCUGACGGUACCGUAUGAAUAAGCACCGGCUAACUACGUGCCAGCAGCCGCGGUAAUACGUAGGGUGCGAGCGUUAAUCGGAAUUACUGGGCGUAAAGGGUGCGCAGGCGGAUUUGUAAGUCAGAUGUGAAAUCCCCGGGCUUAACCUGGGAAUUGCGUUUGAAACUGCAAGACUAGAGUGCAGCAGAGGGGAGUGGAAUUCCAUGUGUAGCAGUGAAAUGCGUAGAGAUGUGGAAGAACACCGAUGGCGAAGGCAGCUCCCUGGGUUGACACUGACGCUCAUGCACGAAAGCGUGGGGAGCAAACA